AAAAAAGUUGUCUUAUUCAAUAAUACAAAGGAGUGGGACACGGUGAUCAAUUAAUAAUGUCGUCUUGUGCACAUGUGAACUUUCAAGGUCAGUUCCCUUCCAAAGCUGCUAAUAUCAUGCAUGGCGCCUAUAAAUAAGAGUGGCAGCGAAGAGGCAAUGAUAAACACAAAUAUUUCAAACAUGAAAGCCUUUCUUGUGAUCAUAUGCAUUCUCUUAGCAACCAUCGUCUUCUCUCCCUCAUCCACUUGCACUGCGCGAGAAUUACUGGGCGGGAAAGAUCCACACACGGGAUGGCCCCCCGCCUCUUCAGGAUCUCCAUGCGGUGCUAAUAAAAAAAAAUGCCUCCCUAAUCCAAAUCCAGGACCGAAUAAACCAAAAAAACGUCGUUGUGAAUCUCCUAUAGAGCAAAGUGACUGUGAGCCAAAUUGAAGAUUGAAGGCGAGCAAAGUUGCAUGCGUUUUUAAGAGUGACAACAACUAGUCAUGUUAUAUAUAUAUGUGUGUGUGUGUGUGUGUGUGUGUGUGUGUGUGUGUUAUAUUUUGAUUCCAGAACUAUAUAUUUAUGUAAGAAAAAUAAAUUAACUUCAGUUCCCAGUACAUGGUGACAACAACUUGCAUCAUGAUAAGGUUUUGAUUUUUCUUGGUUUUGAUUCCAUGAAGUUGUGUAAUCUUUGUUGAAGUUUAUGCAAAAUAAAUAAAGAGCUUAAUUAGUCUA